rnacentral:rRNA from 1 species
CGAAGGACGUGAUAAGGUGCGAAAAGCUACGGGGAUCGGCACACACGACUUGAUCCGUAGAUAUCCGAAUGGGGCAACCCAGUAUGUUGAAGACAUACUAUCCUAAUAGGAGGCGAACCUGCUGAACUGAAACAUCUAAGUAGGCAGAGGAGAAGAAAACAAAAGUGAUUCCGCAAGUAGUGGCGAGCGAACGCGGAAUAGCCCAAACCAAUGUUGUUACGGCAGUAUUGGGGGUGUAGGAC